CAACCCUCAAGCCCCCGGGCUUGGUGUUGGGAAUCGAUCGGCUAGUUCCGAUCGCUCCCUAAAUACAGUGGCGAUCCCACCAACGCACCCUUGGCGUAGUAACAUACCCCGCCCUGGAGCUUGGUGUGGUCAGGCCGUUAAACCCCCCACUUCUUAA
rnacentral:misc_RNA from 1 species